rnacentral:rRNA from 1 species
ACGAACGCUGGCGGCGUGCCUAAUACAUGCAAGUCGAGCGGACAGAUGGGAGCUUGCUCCCUGAUGUUAGCGGCGGACGGGUGAGUAACACGUGGGUAACCUGCCUGUAAGACUGGGAUAACUCCGGGAAACCGGGGCUAAUACCGGAUGGUUGUUUGAACCGCAUGGUUCAAACAUAAAAGGUGGCUUCGGCUACCACUUACAGAUGGACCCGCGGCGCAUUAGCUAGUUGGUGAGGUAACGGCUCACCAAGGCAACGAUGCGUAGCCGACCUGAGAGGGUGAUCGGCCACACUGGGACUGAGACACGGCCCAGACUCCUACGGGAGGCAGCAGUAGGGAAUCUUCCGCAAUGGACGAAAGUCUGACGGAGCAACGCCGCGUGAGUGAUGAAGGUUUUCGGAUCGUAAAGCUCUGUUGUUAGGGAAGAACAAGUACCGUUCGAAUAGGGCGGUACCUUGACGGUACCUAACCAGAAAGCCACGGCUAACUACGUGCCAGCAGCCGCGGUAAUACGUAGGUGGCAAGCGUUGUCCGGAAUUAUUGGGCGUAAAGGGCUCGCAGGCGGUUUCUUAAGUCUGAUGUGAAAGCCCCCGGCUCAACCGGGGAGGGUCAUUGGAAACUGGGGAACUUGAGUGCAGAAGAGGAGAGUGGAAUUCCACGUGUAGCGGUGAAAUGCGUAGAGAUGUGGAGGAACACCAGUGGCGAAGGCGACUCUCUGGUCUGUAACUGACGCUGAGGAGCGAAAGCGUGGGGAGCGAACAGGAUUAGAUACCCUGGUAGUCCACGCCGUAAACGAUGAGUGCUAAGUGUUAGGGGGUUUCCGCCCCUUAGUGCUGCAGCUAACGCAUUAAGCACUCCGCC